AAAGCAAAUGGUUUAAGAGACCUGUGAGUAUUGUUUCUAAGAUUUUCAUUGGUUUAAUUAUUUGUGUUUGUCAACAGCUUUUAACUUCAUAUUUAUCAUUGGUGUUUCUGUGUGUCUGUGUGUGAGAGAAUGAGCAUGCAAGGACCAGCACUUACGCGGUUUUCUUCACUGGAAUGUUGAUGUCAUUGUACAAAGAAAUUGAGUGAGAUACUUUGGACUAAUUUUUGAGUUGUGCUGUAUAUAUUUUCCAGCCUUGGGAGGAAAGAAUGCAA
rnacentral:misc_RNA from 1 species